GAUGAACGCUAGCGGCAGGCUUAAUACAUGCAAGUCGAACGGUAAGUUUGGUAGCAAUAUCAAACCAAGAGUGACGUACGGGUGCGUAACACGUAUGCAACCUACCUUGUACAGGAGUAUAGCUCGGGGGAAACUCGAAUUAACCCUCCAUGAGAUCACAGUGUGGCAUCACACAGUGAUUAAAACUCAGGUGGUACAAGAUGGGCAUGCGUCUGAUUAGAGUUGGCGGGGUAAUGGCCCACCAAGACGAUGAUCAGUAGGGGACCUGAGAGGGUGAUCCCCCACACUGGCACUGAGAUACGGGCCGAGACUCCUACGGGAGGCAGCAGUAGGGAAUAUUGGUCAAUGGAUGCAAGUCUGAACCACGCCAUGCCGCCGUGCAGGAAGAAGGCGUUAUGCGUUGUAAACUGUCGUUUUGUCCGAGGGGGAAUAAAAAUACUGUGCGCAGAUAAUU
rnacentral:rRNA from 1 species